GGACGAAUAAACCACUGGACGCGUAACGAGUGACGUUUUCGUCUUUACCCCGCUAGCACUUACCAAGGCUAAAUUAGCCAUGGUAAAUGUUGUCAGGUUGUCACUUUGUCAGUAUGACGCGAGCUCUCGAAGAGUAAAAAUAUCACGAAAAAUGGGUAAAUGCGCCGUACUUUAUUGCAAAAAUUAUUCCGGUCACACAAGAAAUGUUUCUUAUCACGCAUUUCCAGUGGAUCCAAAUAGAAGGAGAAAGUGGAUAGAGGCAGUCAGAAGACAAAAUACGUGGAUUCCAACUAAAAACCACUGCAUUUGUAGCAUUCAUUUUGCGGAAGAAUGCUACAAUGCCAAUUCUACGAAACAGAGAAAACUGCACAAAGAUUCUUCACCUACAUUGAAUUUGCCUAAAUUUUCACAUGAAACAAAAGAUGAUGAGAUCGACAUAGAUGGAACAUACAAAACAAGCACACCAGUAAAUGUUUUAUUUUCGGUAUGCAAUACCGAGAGAACCUUUUAGAUCUGUGUCAUCCCUCACGUUUAGUGAAAUACCGGGGUGGUUGGAACUUGAUUUGGUCCAUCCUGUCAUCAACUGUUUUUCAAUGGGACGACUUCUGAACAUCAGAGAGAUCUUGACUGUCAAGAUACGUGAAUUAGGCCACUGAACUUUUCAAAACAAAACCAACACAGGUGAAAUAUCUGAGCAUCUCCCUUGACAAAAAAUUGAACUGGGCGAGUCAUAUCGACAACAUGCAUAGUGCCUAGCAAACAUAGCGGCCACGGGUUGUAUGAGAACCACUCUAUCGGCAUCACUUGACUUCUUUCUGAAUCUCAGACAUUUAGACCUCAUUAUUCAGGAGGAAGCACAAGCACCCACUCUAAGACUUAAAGGAAACGAUCUAUGAAAGCAAAACAAGGAGACAGGAUAUUCCGCGAUUCUGCACAAAACCCUAAAAGAAAUACCCCUCAUCAACAGGAUAGGUACCCUGUGUACACAUCUUCGAUCAAAGAUAAUAUCCAGCUUACAGCGGAAAUGCGAAAUUGCUCUGGAAUCAAUGAAGUUAGGAUAUACCGACGUCUUCAAAACCGAAAUAAGUACUUGACUUCUUUCUGAAUCUCAGACAUUUAGACCUCAUUAUUCAGGAGGAAGCACAAGCACCCACUCUAAGACUUACAGGAAACGAUCUAUGAAAGCAAAACAAGGAGACAGGAUAUUCCGCGAUUCUGCACUAAACCCUAAAAGAAAUACCCCUCAUCAACAGGAUAGGUACCCUGUGUACACAUCUUCGACCAAAGAUAAUAUCCAGCUUACAGCGGAAACGCGAAAUUGCUCUGGAAUCAAUGAAGUUAGGAUAUACCGACGUCUUCAAAACCGAAAUAAGUACUGGGAGGUCUUCUCGAAUGACCUAAACAUAAGAAUAUCAACAACAUUAGAUAAGAAUUAAAUAAUAUCAGAUAGUGCAUCCGUACUGCAAGCGCUACAAAGCAAUACAUUGUCAUAAUGUUAUCAAAUUGUGUUUCAUGAAAUGUAUAGAAAUAGGCUAUUGAUGAAACUUUUGUCCGUGACGUGAGACAGAUUAUAACAAUUAUGUUGAGACCAAAAGCUAGUUAGCAGUCGAUCGUAACAGAAUAUUACUUGUU